UGGCGCUUGAAGAGGGCCCGCGCCUGAUUAGCUAGUUGGUGGGGUAAUGGCUCACCAAGGCAACGAUCAGUAUCCGGCCUGAGAGGGCGGACGGACACACUGGGACUGAGACACGGCCCAGACUCCUACGGGAGGCAGCAUGGGGAAUGUUCGCAAUGGGCGCAAGCCUGACGACGCAACGCCGCGUGGAGGAUGAAGAUCUUCGGGUCGUAAACUCCUUUCGAUCGAGACGAAUGGCCCUUGGGAUAAUACCCUGAGGGAGUGACGGUACCGAGAGAAGAAGCCCCGGCUAACUCCGUGCCAGCAGCCGCGGUAAUACGGGGGGGGCAAGCGUUGUUCGGAAUUACUGGGGCGUAAAAGGGCUCGUAGGCGGCCAACUAAGUCAUACGUGAAAUCCCUCGGCUUAACCGGGGAACUGCGUCUGAUACUGGAUGGCUUGAGUUCGGGAGAGGGAUGCGGAAUUCCAGGUGUAGCGGUGAAAUGCGUAGAUAUCUGGAGGAACACCGGUGGCGAAG
rnacentral:rRNA from 1 species